UACGUAGGUGGCAAGCGUUGUCCGGAUUUAUUGGGCGUAAAGCGCGCGCAGGCGGUUCGUUAAGUUCGAGGUGAAAUCUCCCGGCUCAACUGGGAGGGGUCUUCGGAUACUGGCGGACUUGAGGAGAGCAGAGGUGAGUGGAAUUCUGGGUGUAGUGGUGAAAUGCGUAGAUAUCCAGAGGAACACCAGUGGCGAAGGCGGCUCACUGGGCUCCACCUGACGCUGAGGCGCGAAAGCGUGGGGAGCGAACCGG
rnacentral:rRNA from 1 species